GGCACUAUGGCCGAGUGGUUAAGGCGACAGAUUCGAAUCGGCCGAGCGCCGGGUCCCAUCUGUUUCCCUAUGGGAGCGUGAGUUCAAAUCUCACUGGUGUCG
rnacentral:tRNA from 1 species